AAGAGUUGCAAAACUCCCUAAACCAUUGUGAACCUUACCUAGAUCGUUCCUUCGGCAGGCGGCGUCAGCCCUAAACGAUCCUCCUUUCCGGGGGUGAGGCCUGCCGGAGGCUCCUAAACUCUUAAAUUUUUGUUGGUAUUAUCUGAGUAAACUUUUAAUAAGUCA
rnacentral:misc_RNA from 1 species